UACGGAGGGGGCUAGCGUUGUUCGGAAUUACUGGGCGUAAAGCGCGCGUAGGCGGUUCUUCAAGUCAGAGGUGAAAGCCCGGUGCUCAACACCGGAAUUGCCUUUGAAACUAGGGAACUUGAAUCCAGGAGAGGUGAGUGGAAUUCCGAGUGUAGAGGUGAAAUUCGUAGAUAUUCGGAAGAACACCAGUGGCGAAGGCGGCUCACUGGACUGGUAUUGACGCUGAGGUGCGAAAGCGUGGGGAGCAAACAGGG
rnacentral:rRNA from 1 species